GCCAAUUCCAGGAAUACUGCUGCAUCGCUCGGGGGGACACUACCCUAACCCAAGGAAAGUUUUCUUAGCGCAGCCGACGAGGGGGUCUCGCUCACGCGCAGGUGCUAUUUAAACACCGCCGAGAGCCAUCCCGGGCUGAUAAGUGUUGCUGAGGGGAAGCCGCCCCACGGAGACCCAUCCCCUGUCCCCAGCCCUGCGCGCAGCUCUAGCGCGCUACGCCGGGGGGAAUGGACAGAAAAGGCUGUUACCUGCGGCAGAAGAUGCUGGGAUCAGUUCCAGCACAACUGUGAAACAGAUGAAGAACUUAGGAAAAGAAUUAAAAUACCUACAGAGAAUACUUUAUGUAGCACUGUGAGCCUAACCAAUACCCUAUUCCCUUGUCAGCCAAAUAAUUUCUUAGAAAAAUAUUUCUCAACAUCAGACAUUUUAGUACUUUAUAGCAGUAGCUGUCUGUAUUAAUUUUGUGUAUUUAUUAAAAUUACAAAAAUACA